rnacentral:rRNA from 1 species
GGGUUGUGAGGUUAAGCGACUAAGCGUACACGGUGGAUGCCCUGGCAGUCAGAGGCGAUGAAGGGCGUGCUAAUCUGCGAUAAGCGCCGGUAAGGUGAUAUGAACCGUUAUAACCGGCGAUACCCGAAUGGGGAAACCCAGUGUGACUCGUCACACUAUCAUUAACUGAAUCCAUAGGUUAAUGAGGCGAACCGGGGGAACUGAAACAUCUAAGUACCCCGAGGAAAAGAAAUCAACCGAGAUUCCCCCAGUAGCGGCGAGCGAACGGGGAGGAGCCCAGAGCCUGAAUCAGCAUGUGUGUUAGUGGAAGCGUCUGGAAAGGCGCGCGAUACAGGGUGACAGCCCCGUACACAAAAGCGCAUGUGCUGUGAGCUCGAUGAGUAGGGCGGGACACGUGGUAUCCUGUCUGAAUAUGGGGGGACCAUCCUCCAAGGCUAAAUACUCCUGACUGACCGAUAGUGAACCAGUACCGUGAGGGAAAGGCGAAAAGAACCCCGGCGAGGGGAGUGAAAAAGAACCUGAAACCGUGUACGUACAAGCAGUGGGAGCCCCACCACCAAAGCAUUUGCUGUACCGCGUUGACGGAGCGAAGCGACGUCAAACCGAUAAAACAGCAGUGUAAAGUGAGCCG